rnacentral:rRNA from 1 species
GUGUGAUCAUACCAGCACUAAUGCACCGGAUCCCAUCAGAACUCCGCAGUUAAGCGUGCUUGGGCGAGAGUAGCUCUAGGAUGGGUGACCUCCUGGGAAGUCCUCGUGUUGCACCCC